GGUUUUCCAGAGAGAAGCAACCGGCAGGAAGAGACGCACUUUGACCUCUGACCCCAUCUGGACCGUCUUCCUGGAUGUGGCGCCUCCUACUGAAAACAAGGAGGGAAGAAAAGAAGAUGGAAGCAGAAACAAACAUGUUGGACUGAUUGUUGGAGCCGUUCUGAUGGUUUCACUGGUUACUGGGUUGGUUCUUCGUCUUUAUUUAAUGAAGCAGAAGAUGAACAGAUCACCAGACCCACAGUGAGGGUUGUGGUUGUUCCAGUUCAGAUCCCCAACCUUCAUCCUCAGGGUCCAACGUCCUCCAUGAUUUAAAAUGACCUUCAGCUCUAAUGAUUGUAAUAAUUGUAUUAUUUCCUCUGCAGCCCAUCAGGUUCUGCAGGAGUUUUAAUCACUGGAUCAUUUAUGUCCUAAAGCUGCAGGACUUUGAGGACCAGGUUGGGGUCACUGAUCCAGUUGACCUCAGUUUGGUUUCUGCAGCUGUUACAGUUGAUAUCUUGAUGCAGUGAAAGUGAAUUUCUGUAUUUUGAACAAAUCAGUUUAAAGAAGCAGGAACACAUUUAUUAAACAUUUAUGCACA